GCCUCCAUAGCUCAGUAGGUAGAGCGCAUCCAUGGUAAGGAUGAGGUCACCAGUUCAAAUCUGGUUGGAGGCUCCA
rnacentral:tRNA from 2 species